ensembl:lncRNA GBA1LP glucosylceramidase beta 1 like, pseudogene
AGGAGUAACCUAGUGCCUAUAGCUAUGGCAGGUACCUGCAUCCUUGUUUUUGUUUAGUGGAUCCUCUAUCCUUCAGAGACUCUGGAACCCCUGUGCUCUUCUCCUCAUCUAGUGACCCUGAGGUGAUGGAGUUUUCAAGUCCUUCCAGAGAGGAAUGUCCCAAGCCUUCGGGUAGGGUGCCUUCAGCCGCUACAAGAGCAGAAGCAGUGGGCAUUGGAUGGAGCUGAGUACAGGACCAUACAGGCUAAUUGCACCGGCACAGUGAAAUAAGAUUUCGCCGCCUAUCAUCUGCUAACUGCUACGGACUCAGGCUCAGAAAGGCCUGCGCUUCACCCAGGAAUCGGAUAUAACAUCAUCUGGGUACCCAUGGCCAGCUGUGACUUCUCCAUCCGCACCUACACCUAUGCAGACACCCCUGAUGAUUUCCAGUUGCACAACUUCAGCCUCCCAGAGGAAGAUACCAAGCUCAAGAUACCCCUGAUUCACCGAGCCCUGCAGUUGGCCCAGCGUCCCGUUUCACUCCUUGCCAGCCCCUGGACAUCACCCACUCGGCUCAAGACCAGGGGAGCGGGGAAUGGGAAGGGGCCACUCAAGGGACAGCCCAGAGACAUCUACCACCAGACCUGGGCCAGAUACAUUGUGAAGUUCCUGGAUGCCUAUGCUGAGCACAAGUUACAGUUCUGGGCAGUGACAGCUGAAAAUGAGCCUUCUGCUGGGCUGUUGAGUGGAUACCCCUUCCAGUGCCUGGGCUUCACCCCUGAACAUCAGCGAGACUUCAUUGCCCGUGACCUAGGUCCUACCCUUGCCAACGGUACUCACCACAAUGUCCGCCUACUCAUGCUGGAUGACCAACGCUUGCUGCUGCCCCACUGGGCAAAGGUGGUACUGACAGACCCAGAAGCAGCUAAAGGCCUGUGUGGGUUCCAAGUUCUGGGAGCAGAGUGUGCGGCUAGGCUCCUGGGAUCGAGGGAUGCAGUACAGCCACAGCAUCAUCACAAACCUCCUGUACCAUGUGGUCGGCUGGACCGACUGGAACCCAUCAUUGUAGACAUCACCAAGCACACGUUUUACAAACAGCCCAUGUUCUACCACCUUGGCCACUUCAGCAAGUUCAUUCCUGAGGGCUCCCAGAGAGUGGGGCUGGUUGCCAGUCAGAAGAACGACCCGGACGCAGUGGCACUGAUGCAUCCCGAUGGCUCUGCUGUUGUGGUCGUGCUAAACCGCUCCUCUAAGGAUGUGCCUCUUACCAUCAAGGAUCCUGCUGUGGGCUUCCUGGAGACAAUCUCACCUGGCUACUCCAUUCACACCUACCUGUGGCGUCGCCAGUGAUGGAGCAGAUACUCAAGGAGGCACUGGGCUCAGCCUGGGCAUUAAAGGGACAGAGUCAGCUCACACGCUGUCUGUGACUAAAGAGGGCACAGCAGGGCCAGUGUGAGCUUACAGCGACGUAAGCCCAGGGGCAAUGGUUUGGGUGACUCACUUUCCCCUCUAGGUGGUGCCAGGGGCUGGAGGCCCCUAGAAAAAGAUCAGUAAGCCCCAGUGUCCCCCCAGCCCCCAUGCUUAUGUGAACAUGCGCUGUGUGCUGCUUGCUUUGGAAACUGGGCCUGGGUCCAGGCCUAGGGUGAGCUCACUGUCCGUACAAACACAAGAUCAGGGCUGAGGGUAAGGAAAAGAAGAGACUAGGAAAGCUGGGCCCAAAACUGGAGACUGUUUGUCUUUCCUGGAGAUGCAGAACUGGGCCCGUGGAGCAGCAGUGUCAGCAUCAGGGCGGAAGCCUUAAAGCAGCAGCGGGUGUGCCCAGGCACCCAGAUGAUUCCUAUGGCACCAGCCAGGAAAAAUGGCAGCUCUUAAAGGAGAAAAUGUUUGAGCCCA